rnacentral:rRNA from 1 species
GCGUGCCUAACACAUGCAAGUCGAACGGGAAUCUUCGGAUUCUAGUGGCGGACGGGUGAGUAACGCGUAAGAAUCUAACUUCAGGACGGGGACAACAGUUGGAAACGACUGCUAAUACCCGAUGUGCCGAAAGGUGAAACCUAAUUGGCCUGAAGAAGAGCUUGCGUCUGAUUAGCUAGUUGGUGGGGUAAGAGCCUACCAAGGCGACGAUCAGUAGCUGGUCUGAGAGGAUGAGCAGCCACACUGGGACUGAGACACGGCCCAGACUCCUACGGGAGGCAGCAGUGGGGAAUUUUCCGCAAUGGGCGAAAGCCUGACGGAGCAACGCCGCGUGAGGGAGGAAGGUCUUUGGAUUGUAAACCUCUUUUCUCAAGGAAGAAGUUCUGACGGUACUUGAGGAAUCAGCCUCGGCUAACUCCGUGCCAGCAGCCGCGGUAAUACGGGGGAGGCAAGCGUUAUCCGGAAUUAUUGGGCGUAAAGCGUCCGCAGGUGGUCAGCCAAGUCUGCCGUCAAAUCAGGUUGCUUAACGACCUAAAGGCGGUGGAAACUGGCAGACUAGAGAGCAGUAGGGGUAGCAGGAAUUCCCAGUGUAGCGGUGAAAUGCGUAGAGAUUGGGAAGAACAUCGGUGGCGAAAGCGUGCUACUGGGCUGUAUCUGACACUCAGGGACGAAAGCUAGGGGAGCGAAAGGGAUUAGAUACCCCUGUAGUCCUAGCCGUAAACGAUGGAUACUAGGCGUGGCUUGUAUCGACCCGAGCCGUGCCGAAGCUAACGCGUUAAGUAUCCCGCCUGG